rnacentral:sRNA from 1 species
CUGCUGAGGACAGAUAAAGUGAAUGUGCGUAUCGAUUCCUCCCGCCGUCACGAUCAUUCCCUCUCCAGCCAAAGCCUCCGUGGAAGCUCCCACCGUCAUGCCCGGCGUUACCCCGUCCAUGACGUCCGGAUUUCCUGACUUACCGAUUGCCUUCAUCUUUCCAUCCUUGAUGCCGAUAUCUGCCUUUACGAUUCCCGUAUAAUCCAAAAUCAAGGCAUUGGUGAUGACCAGAUCCAGAUCUCCGUCACUGCUUCGGGUUUUCACAGACUGACCCAUACCGUCACG